rnacentral:rRNA from 1 species
UACGGAGGGGGCGAGCGUUGUUCGGAGUUACUGGGCGUAAAGCGCACGUAGGCGGUGCGGUAAGUCAGGGGUUAAAGGCUGCAGCUCAACUGCAGUAAGGCCUUUGAUACUAUCGUGCUAGAGUCUGGCAGAGGGUGGCGGAAUUCCCGGUGUAGGGGUGAAAUGCGUAGAUAUCGGGAGGAACACCAGUAGCGAAGGCGGCCAUCUGGCUGAUAACUGACGCUGAGGUGCGAGAGCGUGGGGAGCAAACAGG